CGGCGGCACAGAGCCGGUGGUGGAGCCGCCGAGCACCCCGAGCAGAAGGCAGACCGGUAUUUUGUGUUAUACAAACCGCCCCCUAAAGACAACAUUCCCGCCCUAGUGGAGGAGUACCUGGAACGCGCCACCUUCGUAGCCAAUGACCUCGACUGGCUCCUGGCCUUGCCUCACGAUAAAUUCUGGUGCCAGGUGAUCUUUGACGAGACUCUACAGAAGUGCCUGGACUCCUACCUGCGCUAUGUCCCCCGCAAAUUCGACGAGGGGGUGGCCUCAGCCCCUGAGGUUGUUGACAUGCAGAAGCGCCUCCAUCGAAGUGUUUUUCUCACCUUCCUCCGCAUGUCCACUCACAAGGAAUCCAAAGAUCACUUCAUUUCCCCUUCUGCGUUUGGAGAAAUCCUCUACAAUAACUUCCUCUUUGACAUUCCAAAGAUCCUGGACCUCUGCGUGCUCUUUGGAAAAGGCAACUCACCACU
rnacentral:lncRNA from 10 species